rnacentral:rRNA from 1 species
GAUGAACGCUGGCGGCGUGCUUAAUACAUGCAAGUCGAGCGAACAGACGAGGAGCUUGCUCCUUUGACAUUUGCGGCGCACGUGUGUGUAACACGUGGAUAACCCACCUAUCAGACUGGUAUAACUUCGGGACACCGGCUCAUACACCGUAGAAUAUAUUGAAGCGUAUGGUUCAAUAGUGAAAGACGGCUGUGCUGUCAGUUAUAGAUGGAUACGGGCCGCAUUGGGUAGUUGGUAAGGUAACGGCUUACCACGGGGACGAUGCGUAGCCGAAUUGAGAGAGUGGUCGGCCACCUUGGAACUGGGACAGCGUCAAGACUCCUGCGGGAGGCAGCAGUAGGGAACGGUCCGCAAUAGGCGAAAGCCUGACGGAGCAGCGCGGAGUGAGUGAUGACGGUCUUCGGAGCGGGAAACUCGGUUAUUAGGGAAGAACCAAUGUGUAAGUAACUAUGCACGUCUUGACGGUACCUAAUCAAAAAGCCCCGGCUAACUACGUG